UACGGAGGGUGCAAGCGUUAUCCGGAUUCACUGGGUUUAAAGAGUGUGUAGGCGGUGCCGUAAGUUUGGCGUGAAAUCUCCCGGCUUAACUGGGAGGGUGCGCCGAAGACUGCGGUGCUUGAGGGUUGGAGAGGAAAGUGGAAUUUCUGGUGUAGCGGUGAAAUGCGUAGAUAUCAGAAGGAACACCUGUGGUGUAGACGGCUUUCUGGACAACUCCUGACGCUGAGACACGAAAGCGUGGGUAGCAAACAGG
rnacentral:rRNA from 1 species